rnacentral:rRNA from 1 species
GAUCUGGCUCAGAACGAACGCUGGCGGCGCGUCUUAAGCAUGCAAGUCGAACGGCAAGAGGUAGCAAUACCUCCUAGAGUGGCGGACUGGUGAGUAACACGUGGGUGACAUACCCUUCAGAUGGGGAUAGCUAUUAGAAAUAGUAGAUAAUACCGAAUACGAGCACAGGGGUUAGAGAUCUGUGAGGAAAGGAGCUAAGGCUCCGCUGAAGGAAUGGCCUGCGGCCCAUUAGCUAGUUGGUGAGGUAAGAGCCCACCAAGGCGAUGAUGGGUAUCCGGCCUUAGAGGGUGAACGGACACAUUGGGACUGAGAUACGGCCCAGACUCCUACGGGAGGCAGCAGCUAAGAAUAUUCCGCAAUGGACGAAAGUCUGACGGAGCGACGCCGCGUGGAUGAAGAAGGCCGGAAGGUUGUAAAAUCCUUUUGAAACUGAAGAAUAAGCGUUGUAGGGAAUGACAGCGUGGUGACAGUUAGGUUUUGAAUAAGCAACGGCUAAUUACGUGCCAGCAGCCGC